CGUCUACGUCAACGACAACACGCACGCGGGUACACAACCGCCUGGGAGCAGCCAGGUAGCACAAGGAGCAGUGAGGACGGUUGUGCUACAGAUCCUCACAUGCCUGGCGACACGGGUGAUGAUGUGGGCUAGGAAGGGCGCGGCAGUGUUGAUGUUGCCUCCAAGAAAAAAGGCUGCUCGAGAGAGGAGAGAGGAGACUGAGGUGGUCCGUGUGCUUUCGCGGAUGGAUUAGCCUUUUGUCUUGCUUUAUGCGUCAUCCGGACCCGUUGAGUCAUGCGGUACAUGGAUACUACCACUCUCGAGAUUGUGUUCGAGCUGCCGUUGAGGUUCAGUUUGUCGCCCUCAACCAGAAAGAUGAUAUUAGAAUCUAUUUGGUAAAUCAUCGGAACCCAAGCUGCAUAGGUAGGACUGUCCACAUGGUUCAGUGGGUAAUCUUUUCCUUUCGGAUUCAUGAAUCUUGGCCUUCCCAGCAAAGCUUACAUACUUGAAAACUGGCUUUACUUAAGGGAUAUGACUCUAAGUAGAGAAAUUUAUUUUGAUCUCCCUUUCAUGGAUUAUUUACAAUUAUUAGCAGAUGGAAAUGCAACAAUAUCAAACAGGCAUAAUUGUUCUCACAUUAUAACUGUAGUUUCUUGAUUGAACUAUGGAAAUGUAAGACGACUUUGUUUGUUUUUUACAAUAGGCAUGGGUAUCUUGGUGAGAUGAAGUCUCUAUUUUAGAUUCAGUUGUAGUGGAUAUUGUUCACUCUGCCAACUACUUUCUACUCUGCCAUUGCGUGCCAGCAAGGUAUAGUUAGUUCUUACAUAUGCAGUUAGUCCUUAGAUGUAUUAUACAUAUUAUUUGUGGUCCAUAACAUUAUUUUUAAUUGGGUUGCUCAUUUCCCACAUCAAGAUUGAGUUACUGUUAUUGAUCUCUCUUUUGACCGCUGCACUUUAUAGCUUGACUUCUCUUCUUAACUGCAAGCAUAUGCUUUCAAAUUCUUAUUGAUACAGCAAAAUUCGAGCAUCUUGUGUGUUAAAUAUUUAGUGACAAAAAACGAAUGCUACAUACUAAUUAUCAUAGACCCUUUGACCACACCCUUCUGUAUAUCGUGCUCACAUAUCAUUCUCUGUAUUAUAUUUAAAAGCUCAUGACUGAGAGAUACUUUACAUGCAAAUAACAGAAUGCAGACCGGAGGUUGAUACCAUUUGCGAAUAAAAUGAUCAAGUACAGGGCCUUGAAACCUCUUCAAUUUCACUAGACAAUAAUGUACACCUUCUUUUUUACUGUGUUUUGGAUGAGAAAAUUAGCAAAAUCAUCAUAGUUAUACUUAGUUCAUGGCCGGCAUCAUUUUACAGUUGUUAGUCUGUGGAGUUCACAUUUUAUUUCAUAUUCAUGCACAAUGUAUCUAAAUUGAUACCUGAUCAUUCACAUGUAACUCCGAAUGAAUAGUUUACAUAUUCGUGUGGUCAUUGAGUGGUUACAUUCAUUUUGCAUUCAACACCUGUUUCUUUUUGUUCUUUUGGGAACCUCAACUUUUGAUUUGCAGGAGUAAAAAGUUAAUUAAGUAUGCAUUCUUUGUUUUCCGGCUAUGCUAUUGCUUCAUUCUUAGUUAAAGUAUAUAUAGUUCCAACCAAACUUCUUAUUCUAAAUUUUUUGAAACGUGUUCUUUUGCUUGAUGCUCAUAGCGAUACGUCUCUCUCCCUGAUAUUGUCACAUACAAUAAAUGUUUUCUGCAUUCGCCAAUAAAUUCGCACCCUGCCACUCUGCUUUUGAAUUGACCAAGUAAUCUGACAACCUGCCACUCCCCUUGCGAGUUGUACGUUUAACAACCAUCCUGCUGUCUAGAUAACACAUGCAUCCAACUGCACAUGGAGUAGACAAACAUAAUUUGCAAUUUCUUUUAUGCACAGUUGUUCAAAUUUCAAAAGAAAGUUUAUAUGCUUCAAAGAAAAGAAAAUAAGUUACUCAAAAGGUGAAUGGGCAUGCAUUCGGACCAAAUCGUAGAUUCAUUAUACAUAGGUCUUUAGGUUAUCAUGUCUCUCACUGCACAUUGUAUGUAAUUUGUUUGUUGACUUGGUGUCCAUUUUUUCCUUACCACAUGGUCCAUUCAUAUCAAAGGUGGGAUAUUACUAAUGAAUCUUCGUCUUUCCCGCAAAGUUUAUAUACUUUAUAAAUUGCUUAGGUUAAGGCCUAAUGCCAACUAAAAUCAUCUGGUGCCAUUAGCAGCUGCUGGAAAUGCAACAACAUCGAACUUAAAUGAUUGCUCUUACUGUCUCACCUGAACACAAGGAAAGUAUAAUGAAAAUAAGUGUGUAGUUUGUUCACUGUCCCAUGAAUAUUUCCGAUUGCUUGGUUUGUUUUCUACACUAGGCAUAGGUGUAUAGGUGAGAAGAGAGUCCUUAUUUCAGUCAUAGUUGAAAUGAAAUUUGUACACUUUACGACUAAGUACAUUUGUUUACUUUGUCAUCGUGGGCCAGCUAGGUAUUAUUAGUGCUUACACAUAAGUGUUUCCUUAGAGGAGAAUCCUGACAGUGCCACAGGUGGCGUCUUCUUCAGAGAUGGAGAUCCGGAUUGAGCUGACUAAAAAUAGACGAAGUAGGCAUCGGGAUUAUAUACUAAGAAUUAUGCACUACCUGUAGAGAUAUAUACUGCAAUUUACACUUUCAAGUAUGUUAUAUUAAGUGCCAUGACCAUGCUUCCAGUAUAUGUAUGUUGUACAUCCAGUUAGUUACUGAUGAUUUAUGCUUAAUUUUUAGGGCGCAUUUUGUACUGCUGACAUCAGAUGGUUCAGGGCUCCUUUUGCUAUUUAUUUGUGGCUUGCACUGAGGCUUACUGUGAUAGCGGUGGUUGGUGUCGAAUUACCAGUGGUAUAUGCUAGAAGCUAGCUUUGAAACACACACAGGUUGUACUCCGUACCGAAGGCUUUUGUAAUGGCAUGCUUUGUUUGUACAAGUACAAAACUAUGUAAUGAGUUUCUGUUGUUUAAUCGUUCAUUAGUAAAGAGAUGGUGCAGCCAAUGGAUCUA